CUCUAGGAAGGGAGCGAAAGGGGCUUUCAACUCGGUAGUGUUUCCGCGCGUCUACGUGAGAGGAAGGUUGAUGGCUUUCAGGCCCGCUGAACAAUUGCUCUUGAAGUCCUGAGCCACCAUGGAAGAAGUCUGCCAACCCUGCUUUCCAGUGACUGAGUUGCAAGAAUCCUUCAAGAUGCCAAAAAGAUGACCCCAAAGUGAGCUUUGUGUGUCUCCGAGACCACAUAAAGAAGCUCUGAGACCACAUGGAGAAGAUCAGCCCGGCUAAGCCCACUUUUCUGGCUGUCCCUGCCAAGGCACUUGGCAUGGCAGUGAAGCUGUCUUGGAUUUUCCAGACAAAUUAUACUGCCAGAUGAAUACCAGCAUGUGAUCUUAGUUGACACCACAUGAAACAGAAGAAUUUCUCAGCUAAGUCCUCCCCAAAUUCCUGGCCCAAAACAUGAUGGUGUGUUUUUGUCCACUGUUUUGGAGUAACUAUUUAUGCAGCAAUAGAUAACAAGAUCAGAUGUUUACCAGAUUGUAACAGUUUGAUUAGACUAUUUCCUAAGAAUAUUAA
rnacentral:lncRNA from 1 species